AGUGAACGCUGGCGGUAGGCCUAACACAUGCAAGUCGAACGGCAGCACAGUAAGAGCUUGCUCUUACGGGUGGCGAGUGGCGGACGGGUGAGGAAUACAUCGGAAUCUACUUUUUCGUGGGGGAUAACGUAGGGAAACUUACGCUAAUACCGCAUACGACCUACGGGUGAAAGCAGGGGAUCUUCGGACCUUGCGCGAUUGAAUGAGCCGAUGUCGGAUUAGCUAGUUGGCGGGGUAAAGGCCCACCAAGGCGACGAUCCGUAGCUGGUCUGAGAGGAUGAUCAGCCACACUGGAACUGAGACACGGUCCAGACUACUACGGGAGGCAGCAGUGGGGAAUAUUGGACAAUGGGCGCAAGCCUGAUCCAGCCAUACCGCGUGGGUGAAGAAGGCCUUCGGGUUGUAAAGCCCUUUUGUUGGGAAAGAAAAGCAGCAGGUUAAUACCCCGCUGUUCUGACGGUACCCAAAGAAUAAGCACCGGCUAACUUCG
rnacentral:rRNA from 1 species